rnacentral:rRNA from 1 species
AGAGUUUGAUCCUGGCUCAGGACGAACGCUGGCGGCGUGCUUAACACAUGCAAGUCGAACGAUGAACCUCUUUCGGGAGGGGAUUAGUGGCGAACGGGUGAGUAACACGUGGGCAAUCUGCCCUGCACUCUGGGACAAGCCCUGGAAACGGGGUCUAAUACCGGAUAUGACCAUCGGGGGCAUCCCUGGUGGUGGAAAGCUCCGGCGGUGCAGGAUGAGCCCGCGGCCUAUCAGCUUGUUGGUGGGGUGAUGGCCUACCAAGGCGACGACGGGUAGCCGGCCUGAGAGGGCGACCGGCCACACUGGGACUGAGACACGGCCCAGACUCCUACGGGAGGCAGCAGUGGGGAAUAUUGCACAAUGGGCGAAAGCCUGAUGCAGCGACGCCGCGUGAGGGAUGACGGCCUUCGGGUUGUAAACCUCUUUCAGCAGGGAAGAAGCGUGAGUGACGGUACCUGCAGAAGAAGCGCCGGCUAACUACGUGCCAGCAGCCGCGGUAAUACGUAGGGCGCGAGCGUUGUCCGGAAUUAUUGGGCGUAAAGAGCUCGUAGGCGGCUUGUCGCGUCGGUUGUGAAAGCCCGGGGCUUAACCCCGGGUCUGCAGUCGAUACGGGCAGGCUAGAGUUCGGUAGGGGAGAUCGGAAUUCCUGGUGUAGCGGUGAAAUGCGCAGAUAUCAGGAGGAACACCGGUGGCGAAGGCGGAUCUCUGGGCCGAUACUGACGCUGAGGAGCGAAAGCGUGGGGAGCGAACAGGAUUAGAUACCCUGGUAGUCCACGCCGUAAACGUUGGGCACUAGGUGUGGGCGACAUUCCACGUCGUCCGUGCCGCAGCUAACGCAUUAAGUGCCCCGCCUGGGGAGUACGGCCGCAAGGCUAA